rnacentral:rRNA from 1 species
UACGAAGGGGGCUAGCGUUGCUCGGAAUGACUGGGCGUAAAGGGCGCGUAGGCGGAUGUUUAAGUCGGGGGUGAAAGCCCGGGGCUCAACCUCGGAAUUGCCUUCGAUACUGGACAUCUUGAGUACGGGAGAGGUGAGUGGAACUCCGAGUGUAGAGGUGAAAUUCGUAGAUAUUCGGAAGAACACCAGUGGCGAAGGCGACUCACUGGCCCGUUACUGACGCUGAGGCGCGAAAGCGUGGGGAGCAAACAGG